GAGACACCAAAUAUAUCCAUAUUCCAUUAUAUUCCAUGUGUACAAAUGCAGGUCCUAUGCUUCUUGCUGGAUUCAUUGAUGCCCCUGUUAUUGGCCUAUCAAUAAAACAAACUAAUAUUAGAAAUUGACACAAUCAUAAAUAUAAAUAAUACAAUUUUCUAUUCUAGGAAGUACAACAUCUCCCAAUAUAAGUGUGUCGCCAAAUCCAAUAGUGUUCAACUCUCAUAUAAUGUGUCCUUCAACUGAGACACGUGUUUGUUUGAACAUUCUUUAGACACUUCUUGAACACAUCUUAGACACAUGUAUGAAAGUUAUAGAUGUAUGUAAAUAACGAUAAUUAAUAAAAUAUAUAUAUUUUAAAUACAUAAACAUAAAGCAUAUGAUAAUAUAAAUUAGUCUUGGGAUAAGUUUAAUACCCUGCAAACAUCACAUUCAAAAGUACAGUAGACCCAACGGCAAUUCCAGCCAAUUCACCAAUCUGCAAGUUUCAAAAUAAAACAAAUAAAUAAAUGCCAAUAAAUAGGGUGGUCUAAGAAUUAGAAAUAUAUUCAAAUAUGGGUUAUUUGUUUCGUACAAGCUAAUUUGUCUUGUUAUUUAAACUACUAUACUAGCAUUCUUCCAAAUGGUUCAAAACGUUACAACUAUAUUUAGACAACUAGUCAAUUUAAUUGCCGCUUUUUUGUAUCAAGAGUUUGACAAUGUGAUUUGCCAAUUCCUAUUUUGCUAGACAUGUGUUGAAUCAAACAAAAUAAAACUUUAGGAUAAAUGAAUAAGAAUGUUACCGCUCUAUUAUCGGUGGCAACUCCAGAUAUGAUAAACAUAAGAUAAAAAGUGAUUAUGAAUUCAACAACAAAAGCUUGCAAGUUAGAUCCAUCUGGGAGUGUUCCUGCAAAUUGGUUAUCCUUCCCACUAAAUAGUAAUCUAAGAGUUCCACUUGCAAGUGUCGAUCCAAGGACUUGAGCUACUACAUAGCCUGGUACCUAUAUGCAAUCAUAAAAAUUCAAAAUAAUUACAUCACCUUAGUCAUGCUAACAACUUUAAGACAAAUUUAAAUUUAAACAAUUGGAUAGAGAGAUAAGAUAUAUUUCAUUCCAUUAUUUUUCUAGCUACAUGUGUGUGAACACCCAAUUGUGGACUUUAUUCACUUUUAUCCAAUGUGAAUUGAAAUGUUUUCUUCCGAAAUUAUAAAAUAAUGUGAAAAGGUCAAAGUAAGUUAGAAUUGAAGAGAUUCAUUUUCAAGUAAAGUGGGCUGUAAUGAUGAACUAAUUAUUUGACCUCUAAUUUUCCUACCAAGUUUAACAAUCAAAAAUUAAAAAUUAAAAAAAAAAUUAAAAAAAAAAUGGUGAGUUUGGUGCACCUGUUUGAGGGGAAAUCUUCUGGUGGUGGCAAAAGCAAUUGUAACAGCAGGAUUGAAAUGAGCACCAGAGAUAUGACCAAGAGAGUAAACCAAGACCAUGACAGCAAGUCCCCAAACAAUUGAAAUCCCAGGAAGUGUUACAACAUUUUCAUUGUUCUUGUUCACCACCACUGAAGCACAACCAGCAAAUAUCAAGAAAUAGGUGCCUACCACUUCAGCUACCAACUGUAGAUAUUUUCAUCAACAAAUAACAGUUAUGUGAUAAUUUAUGAAACACAUACAUCAAACAUAAUUGAAAAUAAAGAAAAGGAGAGACCUUUUGCAAGAAAGAAGCAGUGGCAGGGGCGGUUGAGUUUUCAGUUAUCUUUAAGUCAUCCUUGUUUACGUUUAAAACGACCUCAUUGAUUGUUCCAUUGCUAGCUGAAUUGUCAUCCAUCACUAAUAUAGAGAAACAACAAAACACAAACCAAACAAUCUUUGUGCUCCUAUAACUAGUUUUUUGGAAAAUUAUAUUUCACCUUCUAAGGUUUACAGAAAGCACAGAACUUGUUUCAUCUCUCUGUCUUUAUAUAACGGAACAAUGAGGAUUAAUUUAUAUUACUUAAUAUAAUAAUAAUAAUAAUAAUGAGGGUUGAGCAAUUAUUGACUCAAAAACAAAUCAAUUUAUUUCUUUCUAUUUAAGGACAUUUUCCAAAUAUAUCCUUGCAUUUACUUUUUAAUUCUUAAAAUAUAAUCAACAAAAUUAAAUACACAUAAUUAUUAUUUUUAAUAAGUGUGAAACUAUAUAUUUUUGCCUAUAAAAUCGAAGAGAGUAUUAUCUAUGUGAUGAUAUAUUUCCAUAAAACAUUCACCACAGAUAUUUUCCAUGUGAAAUGUUUGAUAUCUUUUAUAAUAUAAUUUUUAGAUAUAUUGCUUAAGAUUAAGAUAAAUAAGACACGAUGAAGUUAAAUUAAAAUAAAGAUUGAUAUAAAAUUAAUAUUAAGAUUAAGAUAAUAAAUGUUGGUUGUUUAUAUUAUUCAUAUUAUUAAGAUUAACAUGAUUAGGAAAUUAUUUAAUUAGAGGUAAAAAUCUAAACAUCAAUUUGGUGGAGCUUUAACAAUUUUUUUCACAAAAUUCAAACCAAACUGAUAAAGAACAUGUUGAUUUUGUUCAAUUUAAACAAGUUGAUAUUUUAAAAUUAAAUGCUUAUUUUAACAAAUAUAAAUUUUUUCAAACACUAGAUUUUUUUUAUAGAUAAAACACUAAAUUUUAUACCAUUAUAACAGUUGCAUAACCGUCUUUAAAUUCUAACUCAACUGACAAAUAUCGAUUGGACGUCGACUUUAAAAAGACAAAAAAGAAAACAAUUGAUAAACUUUUUUAAUGACAAAUACUAAAACCAUAAUGAAAAAUAAUAAUAUAUAAACAAUUAAAAAUCACUUAAAUAUUUAUUUAUGAAAACACUUAAAUACAACACAUUAUUUUAAGAUAACAUAUAAUGUGAAAUAAAAUAAAUAGUUUAAACUAAAAUAUUAAAAAAAAACAAUGAUCAAUUGUUUUCAAUUAUAUUUUUGAAUCUAUUAAACUAUUUAUUUGAUUUUUAUAUUUUAGACGAAACUCAAAAUACAUAAUUAAAAUUUUAAUUUAUAAUUUUUUAUAAAUUUAAAAAAUUUGUUUGAAUUUUGAGGUAGCCGUGACCACCCUAAUUCCAACAAAGCUCCACUACUGGACAACUUCCUAAAGAAAGAACAAACUAUGGCUUUACUCCUUUGAGGAAAGAUGCACUUUUGGUGAUCUCACGAACCGACUUAUCCGUAUAUCGAAUGAUGUUAUAAACCCAUGCACCAGCCACAGCCCCUAGAAUUGGAGACACCAAAUAUAUCCAUAUUCCAUUAUAUUCCAUGUGUACAAAUGCAGGUCCUAUGCUUCUUGCUGGAUUCAUUGAUGCCCCUGUUAUUGGCCUAUCAAUAAAACAAACUAAUAUUAGAAAUUGACACAAUCAUAAAUAUAAAUAAUACAAUUUUCUAUUCUAGGAAGUACAACAUCUCCCAAUAUAAGUGUGUCGCCAAAUCCAAUAGUGUUCAACUCUCAUAUAAUGUGUCCUUCAACUGAGACACGUGUUUGUUUGAACAUUCUUUAGACACUUCUUGAACACAUCUUAGACACAUGUAUGAAAG
rnacentral:lncRNA from 1 species